AGGAGCUUGCUCUUGUGGAUCAGUGGCGAACGGGUGAGUAACACGUGAGCAACCUGCCCCGGACUCUGGGAUAAGCGCUGGAAACGGCGUCUAAUACUGGAUAUGAGACGUGAUCGCAUGGUCAACGUUUGGAAAGAUUUUUCGGUCUGGGAUGGGCUCGCGGCCUAUCAGCUUGUUGGUGAGGUAAUGGCUCACCAAGGCGUCGACGGGUAGCCGGCCUGAGAGGGUGACCGGCCACACUGGGACUGAGACACGGCCCAGACUCCUACGGGAGGCAGCAGUGGGGAAUAUUGCACAAUGGGCGAAAGCCUGAUGCAGCAACGCCGCGUGAGGGAUGACGGCCUUCGGGUUGUAAACCUCUUUUAGCAGGGAAGAAGCGAAAGUGACGGUACCUGCAGAAAAAGCACCGGCUAACUACGUGCCAGCAGCCGCGGUAAUACGUAGGGUGCAAGCGUUAUCCGGAAUUAUUGGGCGUAAAGAGCUCGUAGGCGGUUUGUCGCGUCUGCUGUGAAAACUGGAGGCUCAACCUCCAGCCUGCAGUGGGUACGGGCAGACUAGAGUGCGGUAGGGGAGAUUGGAAUUCCUGGUGUAGCGGUGGAAUGCGCAGAUAUCAGGAGGAACACCGAUGGCGAAGGCAGAUCUCUGGGCCGUAACUGACGCUGAGGAGCGAAAGGGUGGGGAGCAAACAGGCUUAGAUACCC
rnacentral:rRNA from 1 species